CUCUGUGUCCUUUCCAUGCCUUCAUGAGACCAAGGAUUCCUCUGAUAAAGACUUUCUGCUUUCCUACCAGCUCCAUGAUUGGGAAAGUUCCAGGGAGCCAAGGCCUAGACUGUGUACAGCAGAAGAGAGCAGUUGAGAUGAUGUGUUGAGUAUUCAUGGAAACCAGGAGGUAGACCAUCAAACUGAGUAUUGGAAGGAGGCAGCUGCUGGACAAAUACCAGGAGGACCAGAGGAGUGAAUGUUGGGUGGCAGAAUCCCAGAGGGAAACCCACGAAGCAAAUGGAGAAUGACCCCCUCUCUGUGGAGGCCAUCGCCUGCCAGAAGCAGCAAUGACCCUGAACUGAGUUCCCCGACCCCAGCCUGUUCAAGGUGUGGCCCUUCCCUGACAAGCUCUCGCUCUCAGCAUUCAUGGCCUCCCUGGAUGGUUCAGUCCCUCACCUGGAUGGGUGCCUCUGCAG